AUUGAACGCUGGCGGCAGGCCUAACACAUGCAAGUCGAACGGUAACAGGGAGCAGCUUUCUGCUUUGCUGAGGAGUGGCGGAGGGGGGAGUAAUGUCUGGGAAACUCCCCGAUGGAGGGGGAUAACUACUGGAAACGGUAGCGAAUACCGCACAACGUCGCAAGGCCAAAGAGCGGGGCCUCAUGGCCUCUUGCGCUCGGGUAUGCCCAGAUGGGAUUAGCUAGUAGGUGGGGUAACGGCUCACCUAGGCGGCGAUCCGUAGCUGGUCUGAGAGGAUGACCAGCCACACUGGAACUGAGACACGGUCCAGACUCCUACGGGAGGCAGCAGUGGGGAAUAUUGGACAAUGGGCGCAAGCCUGAUGCAGCCAUGCCGCGUGUAUGAAGAAGGCCUUCGGGUUGUAAAGUACUUUUAGCGGGGAGGAAGAGAGUCAAGUUAAUACCUCGCCUCAUUGACGUUACCCGCAGAAGAAGCACCGGCUAACUCCGUG
rnacentral:rRNA from 1 species